AGAGCCGCAGCCUCGGCGGCUGGACUCGGGAGCAUGGGGAGACGGUUUCAAAAAAUAAUGAAAAAUCGAGGAAAUAUCCUAGAAAAGCCCUUUUGGCGUGAAAACCCCAAAGAGGAUCCAGGCUUCCCGAAACGGAGGUUUCGGGUGCCGGAAAGGCCCUAUGGACCCAUUUGAGUGUCAUGGGUUUGAACACAACUGUCAGCACUUGUUCAUACCUUCCGAUCUACAAGACAACUGCCUAGAGCCAGGAACUCAGCCUGGUCAAAGUUAACCAGCUCAGCCGUGGAAGCUCCGCACAACCUUCCAGCCCCCUCUUCCUCGGAUAGACGGAUCGUAAAGGCCACACGUCAGGGUGGAGGAAACCAGAUGGAAAGAGACAGGGUUGCUGAAUGGCGUCAAGGAGGGCAACAACUCUGGAGAGACGCUCAGACCUGUAGCAGCUUUUGGAUGGGGAUGCUAUGGGGUUCCACGGAGGCUAUCACGAAGGGAAGCAUCCAGCUCAGCGCAUAGUACAUGGCAAUAGUCCUUCAGGAUGAAUAGAAUCUGAAAUGUGAAUUUCCAAGGAAGAGGCAGGACCACCCACUGGGACAGCAUCAUCCCGAUGACCACAGCUCGUUUAUGGCAUGUUGGUAUUGUCCCUCUUUCUCCUUCCUUCCUGGAAGCUCCUCAGUCUCCCUGUGUCUCUCUGGUUCCAUGUAAUGGACUUGCUGACUUUGUGUUUGAGGGAGUUGUUCCUUGGUCCCUGGGAAUGGAUUUUGGAGUCAAAGUAAGAAUACCUUUUCCUUCAGCUUGGGUUUCUUGGCAUGGUUAUGGGAGGUUGGUCAAGUGGGAGUGGUCAAGGACAGGCUAAGGGGCCUUGCAGCUCUAAAGACCACACCUACAGCCAGCAUGUAGGAUUCAAAUCAGGAUAAAGGUGCUGGGGCUGGAGAGGACCACAUUGUGCCAUCUAUCCCCACCAGGAACUCUUCUCCAGCCAGUUAGCUCUUCAUUUGUGAAAUGUGGAUAAUCACACCCAUCUGGCAAGGUCUUUGCGCAGACUUGAGAAAAUGCCUGACACAUAUCAUGCCCUCGGUAACUGAUUCUGAUGAUGUCUGUGUGUCGAGUACCAAAGGUAGUGCUGGACACUGUACAUAGUAGGAUUGCCCGACUCCUGCUCUCAGAUAUCCAGUAGGGGUGACACAGCAUAGGUGUCCUCGCUUUCAUGUGUCAACACCUUAAUAGGGGAAGACAACAGUUAGGUCCCCCCAGGAUGUCUUUUCUCCACGCUAACAUAUACCUGGCUCCUCAGCUGUUGUUCACUUGAACUGGUCCCUCUACUCUGCCCAUAUCUUUGAGAUGAGCCCAAAUGUGUCAGUGCCCUCCUUAAGAUAGGAACCUGGAACUUAACACUGUUCUUCAUGAGAAAGAUCACCAGGGAAGUCCCCAUGUUUUAUUACAGACCCAUUGGAAGUUAAUACCAAGCACACUAAAUGACUUACUCCAGAGAUGCACAGUAAGAUUUCUGGAGAUAGGGGACUCAAUGAAUAAACAAAAAAUACAUUUCCUCACAGGAGGUAGGGAGGCUUCUGGGGUUCUAGAAUAUUCUACUCCUUUUUUAAAAUAUUUUUUAAAGUUUAUUUAUUUUGAGAGAGAGCAAGAAACAACAGGAGGUGUGGGACAGAGAGAGAGAGAUUUCGAAGCAGGCUCCGCACUGUCAGCGAGGAGCCUGAUUUGGGCCCAAACCCACAAACUGUGAGAUCAUGACCUGAGCAGAAACCAAGAGCCCAAUGUUAACCGACUGAGUCACCCAGGUGUCCCUAGAAUGUUCCAUCUCUUGACCUAGGUGAUGGUUACAUGAGUUAUUCAUUUUUUAACAUUUAUUUAUUUAUUUUUGAGAGAGAGAACCAGCACGGGAGGAGGAGGAGGAAGAGGAUGAGGAAGAGAGAGAGAGAGAG